CUGUUCACAGAAAGGCUUCUGCUUUUGAAAGUAUAGGGUCACGUAUGGUGGGAGGUUGGCUAGGAGGAGCCAGCUACAGAUGUGGCUUGCCUAAAAUGUGGAGCGGCACAACUUGGUGUCUGUAAAUCCCAAAGACGGUCCAUGAGUCACCGCUCGCUUCAGCUAAAAGAUUGUCCCAGAGAAGCACCUCUUGGAUUUCAAUGAGUGUUAGAGACAUGCAGUAGCCUGAGCCAUUCAGUGACACUCAAAGCCUCGAUGCCUCCUUUCUCGUGUGAUAGGCCUGCACCUCUCUGUUCAGUUUAUCUACCUCUUAUUUGUUCUAGUCUUUGACUACUUUGUCAUUCUCAUCAUUUCCUUGUCAAUCUCAUCUGAGCUGAGGCCAAAGGCUGUAAAUUCCUCAGAAUGGUUGCUGAUGUAGACACGGCAUCUCAGGGUAGUGGCGUACGGCUGAAGCAGGAGAUUUCCCUCCUUCAUGGCGUCUGUCUCAUUGUGGGAAACAUGAUCGGCUCAGGCAUCUUUGUCUCGCCUAAGGGAGUCCUUAUGUACACUGGCUCAUUUGGGCUGUCCCUGGUCGUGUGGGCCAUCGGAGGGGUAUUCUCUGUGUUUGGAGCGUUAUGCUAUGCUGAGCUUGGUACCACCAUCCGUAAAUCUGGUGCCUCCUAUGCCUACAUCCUUGAAGCCUUUGGUGGUUUCUUGGCUUUUAUUCGACUGUGGACAUCCUUGAUGAUUGUAGAGCCGGCUUGUCAAGCUGUGAUAGCCCUGACCUUCUCCAGUUACCUGGUCCAGCCUUUCUACCCCACCUGUUCAGCCCCCUAUGAUGCCGUCCGUCUUAUUGCCGCUGUCAUCAUAUGUGUGCUCACAUUUGUGAACUGCAUGAAAGUGAAGUGGGGUGCCGUUCUUCAGGUCAUCUCUACUUUUGCCAAGGUCAUUGCUCUAAUUGUCAUCAUCAUUGCUGGACUGGUUAGGCUGGGACAAGGUUUUAACCAGAACUUUGAGGAUUCUUUCAAAAACUCCAAGCUGAACCCUGGUGAUAUGGCCCUGGCCCUUUAUUCCGCACUCUACUCUUACUCUGGCUGGGAUACGCUCAACUUCAUUACAGAGGAGAUCAAGAACCCAGAGAGGAAUCUCCCCUUGUCCAUUGCCAUUUCAAUGCCCAUCGUCACGGUGAUCUAUAUCUUGACCAACAUAGCUUACUAUGUCGUCAUGGACGCAGAUACAGUGCUCAACAGCGAAGCUGUUGCUGUGACAUUUGCAGAUGAGGUGCUGGGCUGGGCUCGUUGGCUGAUUCCUCUUUCUGUGGCCAUUUCCUGUUACGGAGGCCUCAACUCAUCAAUCAUUGCAGCCUCGAGGUUGUUUUUUGUUGGUUCCAGAGAAGGCCACCUACCUAAUGUGCUUUGCAUGAUCCACAUUAAACGUUUCACCCCGAUUCCUGCCCUACUUUUCAAUGGUGGCAUGUCUCUGUUGUACUUGACUGUGCCAGAUGUUUUCCGGUUAAUCAACUACUUCAGUUUUAACUACUGGUUAUUCAUCGGCCUGUCGAUAGCCAGCCAGAUCUACCUUCGCAUCAAAGCUCCUGAUCUGCACCGACCCAUUAAGACUGCACCUUGGUGCAGCCACCCAACCACAUCGUCCACCUCACAGCCCCCAUCAGAUUGUGAACAGACAAAUAAACCGAUGAGUACAAGAUCUAUCUUUGUUCUUCCCAAUAGUCUACUGUCUGUGCAGCGUAUUCCUGGUGGUGGUGCCGCUCUACAGUGACACUGUCAACUCUCUAGUGGGGAUUGGCGUGGCACUUUCUGGGGCACCGAUCUACUACAUUUGUGUCCAUCUGCCUCGCAGCUCCAGACCAGCCUUCCUUGGAAAAAUGCUCAAUGCGAUAUCUCUAUACACCCAGAAACUGUGCAUGUGUUGUGUGGCGUCGCCAGAUAUUGAUCUGGACAACAUAGACCCGGGGAAGAUCGAAUGAUCGAUGGACAGACAAA